UCCAUCACAGAUGAUGAGCUGGUUGAGUACAUUCUCACUGGCCUUGGACCGGAGUUCGAGUCACUGGUGUCCGCCCUCAUUGCCAGGGUGGAACAGGUCUCCCUCGACGAGCUGUACUCGCAGAUGCUCACCUUUGAGA